AUUGAACGCUAGCGGGAGGCUUAACACAUGCAAGUCGAACGAUUGGCGGACGGGUGAGUAAUAUAUCGGAACGUGCCCAGUAGCGGGGGAUAACUACUAGAAAGAGUGGCUAAUACCGCAUACUAUUGAAUCGGCAAAUAUCGGAUUAGCUAGUUGGUGGGGUAAAGGCUCACCAAGGCAAGUAUCCGUAGCUGGUAUGAGAGGACGACCGGCCACACUGGAACUGAGACACGGUCCAGACUCCUACGGGAGGCAGCAGUGGGGAAUUCUGGACAAUGGGGGCAACCCUGAUGCAGCCAUCCCGCGUGUAUGAGAAAGCCUUCGGGUUGUAAAGUACUUUUGUCGGAGAAGCGGUAUCUGCAGAAUAAGCACCGGCUAACUACGUGCCAGCAGCCGCGGUAAUAC
rnacentral:rRNA from 1 species